rnacentral:rRNA from 1 species
GACGAACGCUGGCGGCGUGCUUAACACAUGCAAGUCGAACGGAAAGGCCCUGCUUUUGUGGGGUGCUCGAGUGGCGAACGGGUGAGUAACACGUGAGUAACCUGCCCUUGACUUUGGGAUAACUUCAGGAAACUGGGGCUAAUACCGGAUAGGAGCUCCUGCUGCAUGGUGGGGGUUGGAAAGUUUCGGCGGUUGGGGAUGGACUCGCGGCUUAUCAGCUUGUUGGUGGGGUAGUGGCUUACCAAGGCUUUGACGGGUAGCCGGCCUGAGAGGGUGACCGGCCACAUUGGGACUGAGAUACGGCCCAGACUCCUACGGGAGGCAGCAGUGGGGAAUAUUGCACAAUGGGGGGAAGCCUGAUGCAGCGACGCCGCGUGCGGGAUGACGGCCUUCGGGUUGUAAACCGCUUUCGCCUGUGACGAAGCGUGAGUGACGGUAAUGGGUAAAGAAGCACCGGCUAACUACGUG